CAUUUUCAUCCCAUACUUUAAGCUACUAGCACAAUGCUUAACAUAUAAUUUGUGCUCUGAAAAUGUUCAUUUCUCCUUUUCAAGUCAAUAUUGAAUAUAAAAAUAAUUUUUAUAUUACUGGAGUAUAAAGUGAAAUGGAGAAUGGGUUUUGUCCUCUCCACCCCCUUUCUCUCCUAGUCCUUUCACACCCAACACCCAAAAACGUUUACAUUCUUCACUGCGGUCUUUCCAGAUUUGGGAAAGACCUAACUUCUAUCUUAGCUAUCUUAGAGAGGUGAAACUUUUGAUGAAGGUGCUAUUAAUCUAGAAAGGCAAACCUGUUUUAAUGAAGUAUGAUUAAGUUUAUAUGCUUAAACUGUAUUUUAAACCAGUACCUAUGCUGUCUUAACAGUUUGAGUUUGGAUAUUUGUUUCUUAAUUCUAGCAGAUCAUCAUAGUAAAACUCAUUGACUUCUAGAAGAAAGCUAAACUGGAUAUUUAUAAUAGUUUUUUCUUGUUCUGGAUCCAGAUUGAGAAUACAAGUCCCUCAGUCCUCAGCCAGUUUCUCCUUUGGUUACGCAUAUGUUGUUGAGUCCUCCUCUAGCCUCCACGUCAUGUUAGAGGACAGUGAGAAUAGCAUUUCAGGCCUCACUGCCAGAAGAGAACCUGUUUGAGAGCAGCUGUAUUCCUAGGAGAGGAGGGUCAUUUAGAGAGGGGAUCAAGCACAUUGCUUUCAGGUGGCCACUAGUUUAGGUAAUGAGCCACUGCUCAGAACAGGUUUUGUGCGUGCAUGUGUGUAUGUGUAGAUGUACAUACACAGAGAGACAGACGGAGAGAGGCAGAGAGGGAGAAAGAACACACAUCUGCUUUGAGGUUCUUUAUACGUUCUUUGUUACUUCCUUACUUACCCAGCAACCAUUGUCCCUGUCAGAAAGCAUCAUGGACACUUUGUUGUCCAGUGCUAAUACAGAUUUGGCUAGGGGCCACCUUUGAACUUAAAUAUCCAAAGAUGCUUUUGAAUUUAAAGAUUAAAAUACAACUCAAAUAUUUACUCUUGUAGUUUUAAAAGUAUAGUUGUUAGGUGUGAAGUAGAAAUGUUGCUUUUCCUACUUUAGUAUCAACAUUUUAGUAUGUUAAAUUUGAUGCCUUAUGAACAAAUAAUUUUAUAUUAUGCUUUAAUUUUUUAAAAAUGUCUUCAUUCAGCUAGAUAUAGAGAAUGAUUGAAAUAGCACUAUAGAUAAGAUGUUUCCAAAAAUGUGAGUGUGCAUAUCUUUUCUGUACACAGCUUAAAAUCAAAAAGAUAUAGUAGAGGAUUUUUCCAUUAUGUGUAGUUUCUGUUUUAAAAUUAUUUUUCAUAAUAUUUAUUUUAUUCUACUUUGUUAUUUUCUUUGUAUGAGGCAUCUGGUUAAUAAUAAUAAUUCUCCUCCUCCUCCUCCUCUUCCUCCUCCUUCUUCUUCUUUUCUUCAUAUAGACAUUCCUGAUAAUCACUCCUUUGAGUUAUUUUGUUUUCUGUAUUAAAAAGACCUAUUUCUGUACCAAAUAUAAACAUACAGAUUCAUGCCAAAUCUUUACCAACUUUGACACUAACUUUCUUACGUCCUUUAGUCUGGUGUGAGUAACUAGAUAGAACACAAAUCCUAAAAUUCUUAUUCCUCAAUCAUAUUAGCUUCUUUAAUGAUGUUGUUAAUAAUUAACUUUUGUAGCCAUAACCAGGUGUCUCAACCUUGUGUUUUUAAAGAAAUGUAUUGUAAAACUUUGGUUAGAAUCCAAAACAGGAGCGGGCAACUUUGUGCAAUAUUUCGUUACAGUAGUUUAGUUUAUUUUUUCCUCAUGCGCAUGUAAUUGAUAUUUCUGCCGAAGAUGUGCCUUCAACUUUAUAAUUAUAGUGUUGUUUUAAAAAAAUGUUGUCAAGUGUUGCUGUGUUAAGUCAUCCAGCCCCCUCUACCCUCGUUGUGUUAUUUGGGGUUGUUUGGCUGUUUCAGCUGUUAAUCCAUGCUGUACCAGGACCAGAGGCAGCAGCACACAUUCAGGUAGGGGACAAAAGUCUGUUGUCUUUCCGAUCCCACUGCCCUGGUGCUGUCACUUAGAACAAGAGACAAAGGAAUGUGUAUGGCCUCUUCUCCUUUGUAGUGUCUAAUAAAUUCUUGAUAUAGUA
rnacentral:lncRNA from 14 species